rnacentral:rRNA from 1 species
AACGAACGCUGGCGGCAUGCCUAACACAUGCAAGUCGAACGAGACCUUCGGGUCUAGUGGCGCACGGGUGCGUAACGCGUGGGAACCUGCCCUUAGGUUCGGAAUAACUCCCCGAAAGGGGUGCUAAUACCGGAUAAUGUCUUCGGACCAAAGAUUUAUCGCCUUUGGAUGGGCCCGCGUUGGAUUAGCUAGUUGGUAGGGUAAAAGCCUACCAAGGCGACGAUCCAUAGCUGGUCUGAGAGGAUGAUCAGCCACACUGGGACUGAGACACGGCCCAGACUCCUACGGGAGGCAGCAGUGGGGAAUAUUGGAAGAUGGGCGGAAGCCUGAUCCAGCAAUGCCGCGUGAGUGAUGAAGGCCUUAGGGUUGUAAAGCUCUUUUACCCGGGAUGAUAAUGACAGUACCGGGAGAAUAAGCUCCGGCUAACUCCGUG